UCGGAUGCUCUGCUGGGAUAUUGUGGCGAAGCUGAUCUUAACAUCUUGCCUGUAAAGAAAAAAUGUCGUCCAUUCGCAAACGUUUAAACACAAGGCUGUCGAGACUAAAAGGCUUAAAAAGUCGAUGGAACAACAUAGUCUCUGGCUAAAUUCAGAGAAAUCUUGUUACCACGAGAUUUAACAGCUGCGAAGUCCACGUGUUGGGGAGCAAAACGAGCAACGAGAAUAGCGUGACAUUGACCCAACGUCAGGGACUCCCUGCUUUUGGAUACAUUUCAAAACCAGAUUACAUAGGAACGAGAAUAACUACUGUUUCUUCUUUAACGAUGUUUUAAUCGCUUUUGUUAUAUCUUUCCUGGUAAUAUUCCUUCUGGGAGACCUCGCAAAUUCUUUGAUGGUCGCACAAACUUUACCCACGUCCAUCUAAGUACGAAAGACGCUUCGAAGAAAUGUGAUAUUUGACUGCACAAGAAUCGCUGUGAAACUAAUCAAUAUUAAUUGAUUGUCGAAAAUCCCAAACAAUUUUACGUCGACGAUAAAUAAGAAGGAAGUAAUAAAGGAAACAUCUCUUAAGAUUCUUAAAUGACAUAAAUUAUCUUCAACCAAUCCAUACGCAGCGAGGCAACAGUCUACGCGGUAAUUGACAUCUGUUACAUAUAAUAUACCCAUUAUAGCAAUGUAAAUAUUAUACGUAUCUAUGAUUACCCAAUUGCAGGCUACUCUAAUAUAGUAUUUGACAAGCGUAUGUAAUACAACUGUAUACUGUGACAGUCGCUGAUAAGUAUGUAAUUCAUCUAUUUUGGAAAUAUACUUAAAAAAGGCAGAACCUCGG